GGGGCCCUGGGCAGCCUGAUCUGGUGUGGGACAACCAGCCUACAACAGAGGUUGGAACUAGAUGAUCUCCACUGUCCCUCCCAAUCAUUUCAUGAUUCUACUAUACAGACUAUUUUACUCUUUCAACCAUGGCUACAAAGACACAGUACUACCUGGCUAUCCUUCAGCAAGGAGCAAUAAUGGACCCGUGCUUCCUGAACAGCCUGCUUAGCACUCAGCUUAGAAGACUGGGGACAGCUCAUCUUGCUCCCUGCAAUCCCACAGUGCUGGACAGGAGCAGAGGAGGAAUCUGCAGGCAGUCUGAAAACCAGAAGUAGUUUGAGAGUGCUUCCCCUUCUGGGAUGUGGCAUCUGUCAGUGGCUGCGUCCAUCUCUGCUGCAGACCAAAAGAGCAGCUAAUUAUGCUUCAGAUAGCGUGUUUUGAAAACUUAAUAAGAACAUCAUUUAAUUAAAAUAAGGCACAAAUGACCUUAAUUGUAAGAAGAAAAGGUGAUAACGUUUAUUUUGAAAAUUAGUUGAAAAAUAACUCAUCCAUCAGCUGGCAGUGACAGAAAUCCCUCUGGGGAAGGGAGAUGUGAGGGGAGCAGGUAUGUUCCUGCCAUCUGAGUACACGCAGGGGCAAUGCAGUAGCUGACCACAGUAGACAGGAGGCAUAUUAGGAGCCUUAAUUAACUUUGUUGUCACUCUGCCAUCGCAAGCCGUUAAUUAACUCCUGUGUUAUCUAUCCUGCUGUCCCUCUCUGAACACAGUCCCCCAAAAACAGAAAAAGAAGGGAUAAAAGUGGGGAGAGCCCCACAACCAGCUGAGGAAGUGAAGGGUGCAAACAAGAGUGAGGUCUUUGGCAAAACCCCACAGGUGACAGUCCUUGGUGCAAACGCAGGGUAAUGCUGACGAGCUACUGAUUGAUUGCUGUAAUUAGUUCCAGCUGGGCACAUAGCCCAGGUGCUCAGGGCUCCGUGGUGGGUUCAGGGCCCCACUAACUGGUUCCCCUGGAAGUAGUGUGGAACGAUAAGCGUGAGCCCAGAAGGAGAGCUGCCAUUUUUUUGCAGCUCCUGCUUUGGGAACUACAGAAGGAGUAGAGGCUCUUUUAGCUCAAGCCUCCAGAAAUAUGGGUAGCAGAGGCGGCUGCUGUAGGUGUUGGAAACACGCAGUGGAGCUUUUGGCAACUGCUGUCUUGAGCAACUUUGGAAGUCACCCAAUGGUGCAGGUAGCUCCAGACCCAGCCGUGGUGUUGCAUUCUCACCUCCAAAUCCUCUUCUGAUGCUUAGGCCACUAAAAUAAAGAGGAAGAGAGGGGUGUGAUUGCUUGUGGUGCCAAAGGAGAAAAGCUUUGUACCUUUUAACUCUAUGAAUGGAAAAUAAAACGAGAACAAAAACACAGGCAGGCACAAGUGAUGGUGAGAAACAACUUGGGUGAUGAAUUCUAACUCGGGCUGUAAAACAGAACCACUAGGAAAUGCUUAAAGGGAAGGAAUGGAGAAUCUUUUCAGAAGAGCUUGGAAAAGGGCUUUAGCUGCUCUGCUAUUGGAAGUACUUCCAGCUAACGUGCAAAGUUGAAGGUUGUGAUUAUUUUUACUGCUCAUGGGAUAUGAGAGAUCUGUCAGCAUGUUAAUGGCUCAGACAUCUCCACCUGUCUUAAUGGGAUGUAGACAUGUAGCUAUAUUUCAAGCUGUGAUGUGGCUCUAAAAUUCCCCCAUCUUGUGGCAGUGUCAGAUGAGGAUGCCAUGAGAGCCCAGGGCUUUUUUGGUGCUGAUAGAGCAGCCCCCAGCCGCGCUACUGGCAGGGCUGGCCAUCAGCUCUGGAGUGUAAGGUGUGCCAUGAGGAGUUCCAAGUGUUUUCACUGAAACCCAACGAAGCUUUCUGAGUGUGGUGCACACCUCCAGCCUGCCCAUGUACAGUGAUGGAGAGGACCCACUAUCCCUAUACAUGCCCAAAAUGCCAUCUCUGCCGGGCAGCCCUGAGCUCUGUGCGUCCCUUUCCACUCUCUCAUGGGGAAAAUGAAAACCCCAGGUCUGGUUUCCUUACCCAGGAGCUCUCACUAGGAGGCUGCAGAAGAAAUAAACCGGGGCUCUCUCUGAGCAGAGAAAGUCCAGCUUUCACUGCCGCUGUGUCCCGGCCCGGGUGGAGCGAUUUUUCCCAGGGAAAACCAAAACGAAAUCCAAGCAGUGCGAGGGCUCCGGGAGCGGCUUACCUGCCCUUCGGAUGGGGGCCGGCUGUGGGAUGAAGCUCGCCCUGCUUUGGUCGACGGGGACU